UUUUAAAUUUUGACUUUUCCUUUUUAUAGGUUGACUAGCUCAGAUGUAUGUGCUAGGAAAAUUACUAAGUUGUUCAAAGAAAGAAUAGAUCCCAAUGGUUAUGCAUGGGGACAACUUAGUGUUGAGACAGUUGAAUUUUAUUGGGAAGAAUUCAAGAAAUUUUUUGAGUGGGAUGCUACUAAAACUGCUGUAGUGUAUAAUGCUUGGGAGAUAAAGGCUAAAAGAAGAUAUGCUGAUUACAUAAGCAGAAUAAGGAAAAUGCCAAGACCUCCUUAUGUCCCACCAGAAAUAUGGACAAAAUGGAAUGAUGUUUGGAAUUCUGAGGAGGGCAAGAAGAAAAUAGAAUUGGCUAAGAGAAAUAGGCGUGGAGGAGUUUUAACUGGAGUUGCUCAAUCUACCCAUACCACAGGAUGAACACCUCACGUAAAAGUUGCAGCUCAACUUGAAGGACAAUUGGGUCAUUGUCCAUCGUAUUAUGAACUAUUCAGGCAUACACAUACGAAACAACACGA